CCUCUUCGAUCUGCUGCGGGCAGAUGAAAUGGAUAUGGCUGUCGAUGCCGCCAGCGGUGAUGAUCAUGCCUUCACCGGCAAUGAUUUCGGUGGCCGCACCAAUCAGGAUGUCCACACCGGGCUGGAUGUCCGGGUUACCCGCCUUGCCGAUGGCGGCAAUGCGGCCACCCUUCAGGCCGAUGUCAGCCUUGACCACGCCCCAGUGGUCGAUGAUGAGCGCAUUGGUAAUCACGGUAUCCGCCACCUCGGCGGCCACGCACUGGCCCUGGCCCAUGCCGUCGCGAAU
rnacentral:sRNA from 1 species